UCUAUUUGGAGAUAUAAAAAGUCUGACCUGCCCACUGAAAUUUUAAGGGCCGCGGUAUUAUGACCGUGCAAAGGUAGCAUAAUCAUUAGGUUUUUAAAUGGAAUCUUGUAUGAAUGGUCGAACAAAAAAAAUUCUGUCUUUAUAAUAAAUUUUGAAUUUAACUUUUAAGUGAAAAGGCUUAAAUAAUUUAGAGGGACGAUAAGGCCCUAUAAAGCUUUACAUUAUGAUUAUAUUAUAUUAAAUUUAAUAGUAAAGAUUUAUUUAGUCGUAUGUUUUGUUGGGGAGACAUAGGCAAAAAUAAUAACUGCUUGGAAUAUAAACAAUAAUAAAUGAAUAAUAAAAGAUCCU
rnacentral:rRNA from 1 species